AACAAGUUCGCCUUUUUUCAGCAUCUUGCUCCCUACUAGAUAAUAUUCAUUCAACUCUCUCUACUAGAUAAUAUUCAUUCAACUCUCUCUCUCUCUCUCUCUCUCUCAGAGUCUUGGGGCCUUCUCUGACCUCUCCCCUCCCUGAUAUCAACCAGUUCGUCUUGGGUUCUCUCUCCGGUAGACUCUCUACGGCUUGACCAUCCAUAGAGGUGAAGAAAAUAAUACAAAAAAAACCUCUUCAAAGGAACCAAGACAAAAUCAAGAGGGAAUAUAGAUGGCUGGUGGAGGUGGAAACGAAGGAUUAGGAUGGGUUUGUUUCUUUGUAUUAUUAUUUUUUGUUUCACCCCAGGUUUGUGGCUUUUUAUUAUUGUUAUUGUUUAUAUGGUAUAUAUUACAAUGUCAACAAUGCUAGAUAACUCUAAUUUUAGAAGUCUAAAGAGAGUUUUAUUGAUGUGGUAAAAAAAAAAAAAUAUAUAGGCACACACAUCAUAUCACAUGUAAACCUCAUUCCUUGUCACAUUACUAGAGCUCUCUUUAGAGUUCCAAAAUUAGAACUCACAAUCUUUAUUCUUACAAGAUCUGUAAUAUAUUUGGGAAUAUAUACCAUAUAUAUACAUUAACAAUUAUAAUUUUUUUCUUAACAAAAAAUGUAUCACCAAAUAUGUGAACAUUGUUAAAACAAAAAUGUGCCUUCUAUGUUAAAGAAUGGGCAAGGCAUAUCUCUUGUUGGUAACUAGAGGUAAUGUUGUUGAAAUUAAGCUUGAUUCAGAGCAAGAGCAGAAUUGAUUAAUCUUCACCACCGUCCAUCACUGUGCAUUUGGAGGCUACAAAGUCGAGUUGAAAUUGUAGAAGAAGACUCUAAAAUUAACUAGUUGUAGUUUGAAUUUCAAUGUUUAGAUUGUUUGUUUACAAUGUAAGAUUAGCCUAUAACUAGAUUGUGUGGAUCAUAGUUUGCUAAGAGUGGGAGAAAGAAAAGAAGAGAGAGAAGAGAGAGAGAGAGAUAGAGAGAGAGAGAGAGAUUUGUAAUAUAUGUUUUAUUUGUUGUUUCAAAUUUUCUGAGUGAAUUUAAAUUAAGUUUGGUUCAGUAUU